GUGCCAGCAGCCGCGGUAACACGUGGGAUCCAAGCGUUAUCCGGAUUUACUGGGCGUAAAGCGCGUGCAGGCGGUUCGGUUAGUUGGAUGUGAAAGCUCCCGGCUCAACUGGGAGAGGCCGUUCAAUACUGCCGGACUAGAGGGCGAUAGAGGGAGGUGGAAUUCCCGGUGUAGUGGUGAAAUGCGUAGAUAUCGGGAGGAACACCAGUGGCGAAAGCGGCCUCCUGGAUCGUCCCUGACGCUAAGAUGCGAAAGCUAGGGGAGCGAACGGGAUUAGAAACCCCCGUAGUCC
rnacentral:rRNA from 1 species